GCUGGCGGCGUGCCUAAUACAUGCAAGUCGAGCGAACGGACGAGAAGCUUGCUUCUCUGAUGUUAGCGGCGGACGGGUGAGUAACACGUGGAUAACCUACCUAUAAGACUGGGAUAACUUCGGGAAACCGGAGCUAAUACCGGAUAAUAUUUUGAACCGCAUGGUUCAAAAGUGAAAGACGGUCUUGCUGUCACUUAUAGAUGGAUCCGCGCUGCAUUAGCUAGUUGGUAAGGUAACGGCUUACCAAGGCAACGAUGCAUAGCCGACCUGAGAGGGUGAUCGGCCACACUGGAACUGAGACACGGUCCAGACUCCUACGGGAGGCAGCAGUAGGGAAUCUUCCGCAAUGGGCGAAAGCCUGACGGAGCAACGCCGCGUGAGUGAUGAAGGUCUUCGGAUCGUAAAACUCUGUUAUUAGGGAAGAACAUAUGUGUAAGUAACUGUGCACAUCUUGACGGUACCUAAUCAGAAAGCCACGUCUAACUACGUGCCAGCAGCCGCGGUAAUACGUAGGUGGCAAGCGUUAUCCGGAAUUAUUGGGCGUAAAGCGCGCGUAGGCGGUUUUUUAAGUCUGAUGUGAAAGCCCACGGCUCAACCGUGGAGGGUCAUUGGAAACUGGAAAACUUGAGUGCAGAAGAGGAAAGUGGAAUUCCAUGUGUAGCGGUGAAAUGCGCAGAGAUAUGGAGGAACACCAGUGGCGAAGGCGACUUUCUGGUCUGUAACUGACGCUGAUGUGCGAAAGCGUGGGGAU
rnacentral:rRNA from 1 species